ensembl:lncRNA
CGGAAAUACAGGCAUGGGUCAAAGUUAAAAAGCUUACCGUGCACGAUGUGAAGAACCAAAGCGUGCAAACUGAUGUGGCCACGUUUAUUCAGUUCGUUAUACUUUCUGUUAUUUAGUUGUUGUGUUUGUGUUAACGUCGGAAUAUGUCUCCAAAGAAGAAGCAUGGGUCAAGUCAUCAAUUGAUCCAUUUGAUCUAUCGACAUUUGAAGGAAAACGGCUUCCAGAAAGCUGCAGAAGAACUCAAAAAGCAUGUGAAGGGCGGAGAACCAGAAGCCUUGUCAACUUCACUACUGGACAUCUACAAUAAAUGGUUUGGAGAUGCUUCCAAGAGUACAAAGACUGGAACAGAACCGGAUUCUUCUGAGUUAAAAAAGAACCGUCAAGCAGACCCUGAAAGCAGCACAGAGAGCUCGAGUUCAGCAGAGGAAGAAACAACACCUGUUAAAGCCUCCCAGACCCCAAAGCCUCAGAGCUCAGCUAAGGCCAGCCCAACUAAGGCCAAGACUGCAGUGCAGACGACUCUUGGAGGGAAGGGGACAGUAGUGGAGGAGAUCUCUGGGACAGACAGCUCAGAGGACUCUGAGAGUGAGGAGACACCGCCACAAGAUAGCCCUGCUACGCCCAAAGCCAAUCAUGUUCCAGCUGCAAAGAUCAAGGCCGUGUCAGAGGUCACACCAUCGACCCCAACCAAGGCCAAGUUAACAACCACUUCCACGACUAAAUCUGGGGCCUCCAGCAAUACCACUGAUACGUCGUCAGACAGGAAAGAGGCAACAACAGUGAAAACACCCUUGACGCCAGCACCAGUGACGCCAACCAGUAAACCAACAUCAACAGCCAAGACGAAAGCUACUCCAACUAAAGCAGUGGUUGUUGCUACUCCAAGCAAGGCCACGGCAACAACAACAGCCACACCUGCAUCUACAGCAUCCGACUCCUCCAGUUGCAGCAUGGAAUCGUCAGAUAGCGAUGAGGAGAGUCCCGCUGUGAAAACACCCACAACACCAAGAGCAACACCUGCAAAACCGGUAACACCAAUUAGUAAAACAACAUCAACGGCCAAGCCAACAACCAAGUCGAAGACUACAGCGCCAGAGGCUUCCAGUGACAGCUGUGAUUCAUCAUCAGAAAGUGAAGAGGAAGGUCCAACAGUGAAAACACAGACAGCGCCAGUGAAGCAACAGACAGCAACACCAACAGCCAAGAUGAAAGCCACCCCAGUUAAACCAGUGGUUGCUGCUACCCCAAAUAAGACCUCGGCUAGUAAGGAGUCCAGUGAUAGCAUUGAUUUGUCAUCAGACAGCAACGGGGAGAGUCCAGCAACAACAACAGCUGCCACUCCGAAAGCUACACCAGUGGUGCAACAGAAAGUAACAUCAACAGCCAAGACGAAAGCUACUCCAACUAAAGCAGUGGUUGUUGCUACUCCAAGCAAGGCCACGGCAACAACAACUGCCACACCUGCAUCUACAGCAUCCGACUCAUCCAGUUGCAGUAGUGAAUCGUCAGAUAGCGAUGAGGAGAGUCCCGCUGUGAAAACACCCACAACACCAAGAGCAACACCUGCAAAACCGGUAACACCAAUUAGUAAAACAACAUCAACGGCCAAGCCAACAACCAAGUCGAAGACUACAGCGCCAGAGGCUUCCAGUGACAGCUGUGAUUCAUCAUCGGAAAGUGAAGAGGAAGGUCCAACGGUGAAAACACAGACAUCAACAGCCAAGACGAAAGCCCCUCCGGGUACCUCAGUUAAACCAGUGGUCGCUGCCACUCCAAGCAAGACCCCAGCUAGUAAGGAGUCCAGUGACAGCAUUGAUUUGUCAUCAGACAGCGAAGAGGACAGUCCAGCAACGGAAGCAGCCACAACACCGGCAAAACCUGCUAAUAAUGCUACCCCGGCUAGAGCAGCGACUGUUGCCCCUCCAUGCAAGGCUACGGCAACAGCCACUGUCACAGCCGAGACUACAACAGCAGAGUCAUCUAGUGACAGCAGUGAUUCGUCAGACAGUGAAGAGCAGGUUCCAUCGGUGACAACAGCCGCAACACCGACAGCUACAACGGGGAAGCAAACAAAACCAACAUCAACAGCCAGGAGGAAAGCCCCUCCGGCUACCCCACUUAAACCAGUGGUUGCUGCCACUCUAAGUAAAACCCCAGCUAGUAAGGGGUCCAGUGACCGCAUUGAUUUGUCAUCGGACAGUGAAGAAGAGGGUCCGGCACCGAAAACAGCCGUGACAACAGCCCCUCCUGCCAACCCAGCUAAAGCAGCGACUGUUGCCACUCCAAGCAAGCCUAAGGCAACAGCCACUGUCACCGCCAAGACUACAAAACCAGGGUCAUCUAGUGACAGCAGUGUUUCAGCAACAACAACAGCGGCAAGACCGAAAGAUACACCAGUGAAGCAAUCAAAACCAACAUCAACAGCAAGGACGAAAGCCCUUCCGAGUACCCCAGUUAAACCAAUGGUCGCUGCCACUCCAAGCAAGACCCCAGCUAGUAAGGGGUCCAGUGAUAGCGGUGAUUCGUCAUCAGACAGCGAAGAGGACAGUCCAGCAACGAUAACAACGUCAAAACCACAAACUACACCAGUGACGCCAGCGAAACUGAAAGCAACAUCAAAAGCCAAGACGAAAGCCACUCCAGCUAAGCCCGUGGUUGCUGCUACCCCAAGCAAGGCCCAGGCAACACCCACUGUCACACCUACAAGUACAGCACCAGAGUCGUCCAAUGACAGCGAUGACUCACCAUCAGACAUCCCAGAUGAAGCCCCAGCAAAGCAUGCUGAGGUUCAACUUAAGACCCCUGCUUCAGCUAAGAAGGCCCAGGGUGGGGGAAUGGGAAAUAAAUCUGCUUCUAAGGACCUGCUCCUACUGCUGAACAGUCUUACUUCACCCACAGCGAAAGCCAUUGAGAAGAAGAGUGUCCGUCGUGGAGACUCCUCCGUUGAGGAAACUCCAGCUGUUACAGCAACACCUGCUGGUAUGUACUGGUGUCAUGGUGCAGGAUGUGUGUUCUGCAUUGAUGGUCUUCAUUACUGUAUGUUUUAUGUCUCUUUUUUAUUGUGUGUAGUUGCUCCAGCCACAAAUAAAGGAAAGGCGGUGGCUGCAAAAGACAAGAAAGCAACCUCAUCGAAGAAAGCACAAGUACAGAUACUAACUCUCGGUGUAUUAAAUUGCACUGACUUAUUUUCUCAUCCGUAUAUGGUCAUUGGGAACCAUAUUCUCUAAGUGCUUGUUAGCUAGAUCAUUCUGCAUAACGGAAUUCUUCUUACCAACCCUUGUUUCAGGCCUCGGCUCCAUCAGCCAAGAGGAAAAGAGGUGAAGACAAACCAGGGGACACACCCGUGAAAGGCAAAAAGAAGAAGCCCUCGCCUGAGACUGUCAUGGCUGCCCUGCCUCUGACCGUUCUUGGUCCUCCUCCUACAGGGGGAGACGACUCUGGCUCGGACUCUGACUCCGAUCUGGACGUGGAGAAGUGGAAGAGACUGGCACUGGAACUAUCAGACACAAACAUCGCCAAAAUGGACGCCAUCACUGCGCUGAACGCCUCACCUGCUCCUGCCUCAGCAGCGAAGAAAACAAGAGCGCCGACGAAGCCCAGGGCUAAAGCUGCAUCGAAGACACCUAAACCCAAGGCUGGCGCUGCAGUGGAAAAGUCUAGUGCUGCUGAAAAAGUCAAGACUACAGCUGAAAAGGAAGAUGGGAAUGGGAAGACCAAGACAUCUGCAAAAGCCACUAAAGCCAAGUCCAGUCAGGCUAAGAAGGCAGCACCUCCCACCCCAUCAGUCAAAGACAAACAGCCACCCACCAUGCCUGCUACCCCAACACCUAAUGGAGAACCGUCAGCCAGGAAAAGGAAGAGGAAUAGGAAAAAUAGGAACAAUGAGACUAAAGCAGAUGACAAUUCACCACAACCUCAAAAGAAGAAAAGGGAAACCGGCGAAGAGAAGACGGAUGAAAAGAAAAAUGAGACUGUAGAAGAGAAGGAACCAGGGAAGGAAAAGAAGAGGACGACUAAGGAGAAUGGUGCAAAAAAGGAGAAGGGAGCGAAGAAGAAACAGGAGGAGAUAAGAAAGGAGAAUGAGACUAAGAUGGAACUGGAAAAGGAUAAGAAGAAGAAAACGAAUGAGAACUGUGUUGACAAGGAACCACCACCUCCAUCCACCACAGUAACACCUGAUUCUCCAACAGAGAAGAAAAAGAUUAAAAAGCUGAAACUCUCAAAGACUGCAGUGUCUGAGAUGCCAGCCACACCUGCCCAAGACUCCAUCCCUGUACAGCACCCUCCAGCACCCACAGAGACCCCACCUAAAAAGAAAAAGAAAUCAUCUAAGAGUAAGUAAGGCCUUUAGAGAUGAAGACCAUCUAAAAGGGGCCUCUCAAGUGUAUGUGGACCUGGACCCAUUCUACCUAAAUGGCAGUGCAGCAACAACUGGUAAAGACUGUCUGUCCACAGAAUGGUCUCCCUGGACCAGAUCUAUUUUUUAUUACAUUGUAUACUGUAACAAAUGAACUCUUUUCCCGUUUUGCUAAAGUGGAAACAGUGUUUUUUUAGCCUAUUUGUUUAUCUAUUUUUUAAAACUGUAACUGCAUGUCCUGUACAGGUUCUAACUGUUUUCCUAUUUGAAGAUGGCAUACUAUGUGAUGUGCCGCAGCUGUUUUUAUGUUACUGUAACAUUUUAAUUAUGGUGUUUUCUUGCAUGUCCUUGUGACAGCGGAAAAAAACAGAAUGAUUUACGGAAAUGUUACGUUUACGACAGCUUUUGCUGCUUUGCCUCACAUGGUGUUUAAGGCCGAUCCUAAGUGGAGGGAAUGAUCAGAGGAACCUCAAUACAGUAAUGAAGCCCAGAGCCAUUGUUUAACCCUUACACCCUAGUAAUGAAUGCAUAAUAUGGAAAUAUUUGAGAUACUACUAGGAAAAUAGAUUUUUUAUUUUUUUUUAAGUUUCAUGGUCAGAUGUGUUUACUGUAUCUUUUUCACAAAAUUAAGUCAUUUUUCCACAGUUUGUGUUUGUGUCCAUUUUGUUAGUGGGUUUGAGGUGCCAAAAACUUGUCUUCAAGCACUUUCUCUUUCUGGUCUUGGGAGUCUUCUUCAGCACUUUGAUGAAUUUCUUUCCAGAGGGGACUUUGUGGCAUUUAUAGCUAUGGUAAUUAAUGGCACUGCCAAGGUGGAGAGAAGCCUAGGAAAAUAUAAAUCAUUGUGAUUGCGGCAUAACGGUUCCUGG